AUUGAACGCUGGCGGCAUGCCUUACACAUGCAAGUCGAACGAGUGGCGGACGGGUGAGUAAUGUCUGGGAAACUGCCUAAUGGAGGGGGAUAACUACUGGAAACGGUAGCUAAUACCGCAUACUAUCGGAUCGGCCGAGUUGGGAUUAGCUAGUUGGUGGGGUAAAGGCUCACCUGGGCGACGAUCCAUAGCUGGUCUGAGAGGAUGACCAGCAACACUGGAACGGAGACACGGUCCAGACUCCUACGGGAGGCAGCAGUGGGGAAUAUUGCACAAUGUGCGAAAGCCUGAUGCAGCCAUGCCGCGUGUAUGACGAAGGCCUUCGGGUUGUAAAGUACUUUCGGCGGGGAGGCGUUACCCGCAGAAGAAGCACCGGCUAACUCCGUGCCAGCAGCCGCGGUAAUUC
rnacentral:rRNA from 1 species